UGGGGAAUAUUGCACAAUGGAGGGAACUCUGAUGCAGCGACGCCGCGUGAGUGAUGAAGGAAUUCGUUUCGUAAAACUCUGUUCUAUGGGAAGAAAAGGACUGUACCAUAGGAGAAAGCUCCGGCUAAAUACGUGCCAGCAGCCGCGGUAAUACGUAUGGAGCGAGCGUUGUCCGGAAUUAUUGGGCGUAAAGGGUGCGCAGGCGGCUUUACAAGUUGGAUGUGAAAUAUUGUGGCUCAACCACAAACGUGCAUCCAAAACUGCAAAGCUUGAGUUAAGGAGAGGUAAGUGGAAUUCCUGGUGUAGCGGUGAAAUGCGUAGAUAUCAGGAGGAAUACCGGUGGCGAAGGCGACUUACGGGACUUAAACUGACGCUCAGGCACGAAAGCGUGGGGAGCAAACAGG
rnacentral:rRNA from 1 species